rnacentral:snRNA from 1 species
GGAUGUGAGGGCGAUCUGGCUGCCAACAUCUGUCACCCCACUGGUCGCCAGGGUUGAUUCGGCUGAUCUGGCUGGCUAGGCGGUGUCCCCUUCCUCCCUCACCGCUCCAUGUGUGUCCCUCCCAAAGCUGCGUCCUUGGUCGAAGAGGACAACCUUCUCCGACAGAGGAGGACCAUUCUUCGGUCAAGGGUAUACAAGUAGCUGCGCUCCCCUGCUAGAACCUCCAAACAAGCCCAAGGGCUCUUUCAAGAGGCACUUCUAUAUUUCCCUUU